CUGGCCGUAAACGAUGGAUACUAGGUGUGGGAGGUAUCGACCCCUUCCGUGCCGGAGUUAACGCAAUAAGUAUCCCGCCUGGGGAGUACGGCCGCAAGGCUGAAACUCAAAGGAAUUGACGGGGACCCGCACAAGCGGUGGAGUAUGUGGUUUAAUUCGACGCAACGCGAAGAACCUUACCAAGGCUUGACAUUGAGUGAAAGGCUAAGAGAUUAGCCCCUCUCUUCGGAGACACGAAAACAGGUGG
rnacentral:rRNA from 1 species